AGACCCGAAACCCGGUGAUCUAGCCAUGGGCAGGUUGAAGGUUGGGUAACACUAACUGGAGGACCGAACCGACUAAUGUUGAAAAAUUAGCGGAUGACCUGUGGCUGGGGGUGAAAGGCCAAUCAAACCGGGAGAUAGCUGGUUCUCCCCGAAAGCUAUUUAGGUAGCGCCUCGUGAAUUCAUCUCCGGGGGUAGAGCACUGUUUCGGCUAGGGGGCCAUCCCGGCUUACCAACCCGAUGCAAACUGCGAAUACCGGAGAAUGUUAUCACGGGAGACACACGGCGGGUGCUAACGUCCGUCGUGAAGAGGGAAACAACCCAGACCGCCAGCUAAGGUCCCAAAGUCAUGGUUAAGUGGGAAACGAUGUGGGAAGGCCCAGACAGCCAGGAUGUUGGCUUAGAAGCAGCCAUCAUUUAAAGAAAGCGUAAUAGCUCACUGGUCGAGUCGGCCUGCGCGGAAGAUGUAACGGGGCUAAACCAUGCACCGAAGCUGCGGCAGCGACGCUGAUGCGUUGUUGGGUAGGGGAGCGUUCUGUAAGCCUGUGAAGGUGGCCUGUGAGGGUUGCUGGAGGUAUCAGAAGUGCGAAUGCUGACAUAAGUAACGAUAAAGCGGGUGAAAAGCCCGCUCGCCGGAAGACCAAGGGUUCCUGUCCAACGUUAAUCGGGGCAGGGUGAGUCGACCCCUAAGGCGAGGCCGAAAGGCGUAGUCGAUGGGAAACGGGUUAAUAUUCCCGUACUUGGUGUUACUGCGAAGGGGGGACGGAGAAGGCUAUGUUGGCCGGGCGACGG
rnacentral:rRNA from 1 species